CCUCAGCAGACAUAAUUAUAACCUCUUGAAAGACCCUGAGCCUCUAAGCUGCUUCUAGUUUCCCGACCGUCAGAACCUCUUUGAAGUAAUAAAGCAGGGUCACCCAUGGUGGACAGGUUUCAGCGGAGCUUCCAGACUAAGACAGACUAGGAAGAAGGAACUGCCCACCCACUUCUGAAAGAAUUGGCCAUGAAAACCCUGUGAAGAGCAGUGGAGCACCGUCUGAUGGAACACCGGAAGGUAUGUCUCUUAAAAGAGCUUAUGGAUGCUCACCGUUAGAACCCAGACACCACACCAACAGGAAGCUCAGGGCGCAUGGUGUGGCCAUUUGUAGUGUUCUAGGUAACAACUCCAGCUGAGGUCCCAGCUAGAGUCGGCUUCAAUUGACAGCUGUGUAGGUGAGGAACCUUCACGCCUGGUUAUGCCCAGUCACGCCCCAAACCAUGAGAGAGAAAAAAGAAAUUCUUAUCAUUGUUUUCAGUCACGGCAAUAGACCCAAUGCAGGAAUAGAAAGAUUCUUCUCAGGAGGGGUCCAGCCAGAGUCGUCACCAGACUGUCAAAGGGGUCCGUGGCACAAAAGAGUUUAAGAAUCUCUGGUGCAGACAAAGAAGAGAGAAAGAGAAAAGGCCUGAACCCUGGAACUCUCCAACAUUUAGUGAUUAAACAUUCAAGAAGGAACCAGCAAAAGACGCUCAAAUGACUGAGUUUACAUGGAGCCAACGAGAUUAUACUUUCUGCCAUCAGACAGAACAAGUAUUCAAAAAGAGACUAACUUUAACUACAGAAACAAAAAAAUUUUAAAUUUGUAUUUUUGUAUACCAGAGUUGUUGCCCAUGAGACAUUGGAGCAUACCAUACUGGGAGGCUUUGAAGCCAAAGGAAGAAAUAUUUCAAGGAAAGAGAAAUCAACCAUAUUAAAUGCUGAUGAAAAUGGACACUCGGAUUUGGCUAGAUGAGAGUUAAGUUGCUCUUAGCUGAGUAAGAGCAGUUUCGGUAGAUUUUUGGAGACAAAAGCUUGAUUUGAAUGGGUAAAGAAGAAAAUGGGAGAUGAGCAAAUAAAGAAAGCAAGUAAAGGUAUCUUUUUGGGGAGUUUUGCCAUAAGAGGAAGCAGAGAAAUUUGGAGGGGUUGCGAGGGGACCUGGAGUCAAGAGAAGCUUAAAUAAAAUUUUUUUAAAUAUUUGUGAUAUUCCAUUAUGCUGAUGAGAAUUAUGAUGAAAUUAAUGAUGCGGGAGAGAGAAUGGAUCACUGAAGAAGAGACAGAGGAUGGUAUCCAAUGGAAAGCUUGGUUUUCAAUUGGAGCAAGACCAGUUCAUCCAUUAUGACAGGAAAUUGGUUAGUGCCAUGAGUUAGUUUUUCAUAUUUAGUGGUUUUCUGAUUGUGUCUAUCUUUUGAUGAUGCCAUCAGCUGAGAAUGGGGAGUGUGGAAGGGUUUUGGAAAUUUGAGGAGAGAAGAUGUAGUUCUGGAGAUUAGGAGAAAUGUAGUGGAACUGCUGAGCAGUGCCAAAGGCCCACUCAAGAUCUGUGAAUAUGAAUUUCAAGAGAGAUAAAUGUGCUUAAUUGUGAGGUUUUCUUCAAAGGCAGCCAUGGAAUAUACAGAAGUGAGUUUGGGAUUUGAAUCUUUCCAAGUGGCUACAGGGAG
rnacentral:lncRNA from 1 species